AAGGAACUAAGGGCGCACAGUGGAUGCCUUGGCACUAAGAGCCGAUGAAGGACGCAAUUAACGGCGA
rnacentral:rRNA from 2 species